AGUAUUUUCGUUCACUACAUUUUUGAUAUACCACAACAUUUGUGUUGUUUUCUUGUCUUUCAAAUUAUCUUUAUUUGAAAAUGAUAUUCUUUAUGAGCAUUGUAUGCUAGAAACAUGUCAUGCUCAUAUUUUGCCUCUUUUUUUUCUGCGACCUUAAUCAAAGUCCUUUUAUGGUGUAUCUGCAGUGUCCUAUUUAGUACCCUUUCUUGGCUAUUUUCAAGGGAGAGAAAAGGAAAAAGGAUAAAUGAAUGAAGAAUUAUUUAGAGAUGUACUAGUUGGAGAGUACUACAUGCACUGGUCCAAUGAAAGCAACCCCCAAAAUAGGAAGGAUAAACAAAAUUACUUACGCCGCACUUGUGUUUCCUAUGACAUGUGAGAUGGAUUGCUUGAGCAAUGUAGCUGCAAUGCGUGAUAUAGUUUUUCAAGUGGAUUUCCUGGCUCGCAUGCUCCUAUUCCACCUGGUGCUAGCUUUGGUUAUCAUCCUAGUGGUUGGGGCAAGCCUCCUGUUGAUGAAUUCAGACGCCCACUAUAUGGUGACGUUUUUGGUGUCCAACAACAAGAACAACCUAAUUAUGAGGUAUGGAGAUAUGCAUAUGGGAAAGCUUUCUAUGUAACCCCACCCACAUAUGGAGAGAUUUUAGGGAAAGGGAGAAGUGAAGGGUGCAAUACAUGUGCUGGUUAGGAACUAAAGUCGAGUGCGGUAAGUUAAAAAUUUUGGUUUACAUUGGUCAUCUUUUGGGAGCUUUAAUUUGAAUCAAAAUUAUCCUUUGGAUUUUAUACAUAUCGAAUUUAAUUGUCUUGAAUUGAUGGUAUGAGGAUAGAGGUGCACAUGCAUUUCCAAGUUAAUUAGUAUCUAAGAAAAAUAUAUUGUGUAUUUAUUUUUUAUCAAAACUCCCCUAAUAGUAACACUCAUCAAAAUGAAAAAGGCCUUGCAACAGAUGAAUGCACAAAUUAAAGAGGCUUAGUCCAUAGUACUUGCUUUUAAAAUUGGCUUGGAUUUAUUGCCUUUUCAUUUUUUCUGGUUGACGAUUAGUUGUUUUUUCUUUUGUUUGUGACUAAGUAGAUGAUUUUCAUGCAUUUCAACUGGCAUGGAUUUAUGCCUUUUCAUUUUUCCUAGUUGAAGAUCAAAUUCUGCUUUCCUUUGUUUGUUACUAAGUAGAUGAUUUUCAUUCAUUUCAAUUUCAUUUCUACCAGCGUCGACAAUAAAAUCCGCUCUUCUUGGGCAUAAUGUACAACCAACUAUUAAAAUUAUUGGAUAUUUAUCACAUUGGAUUGAUUGAGAGGGUUCUGCUAUGAACUUUAAUUAUAUGGGGGAUACUAUUUUCAUAAGGAAACUUGACAUUGUAUCUCAAUUUAAUGAAAGGGUGGCCCAUGAUUAUCAUCUUUUUUGGGUUAUCUAUGGUAUUUAUUAUUUUGCAUGAGAAUUUGGUUAAAUGAAUAAGAACUUGCAAAAUGGGAACUAGGUUUCACGCAUGCUAAUUUAAUUGUAUGAGGAAUAGGGUAUAAGGGUGUAUUUUGGUCAAUAUCAAGGGCCCACAAGUGGGUUUAAAUGUACUGUACAGAUGCAGUUAUUGAUGUUAUUUUGAUUUAUGGAAUUGAAACACAUUCCCUCCUACUUUGGUGUACUAGGGAAGGCCCCUACUUUGUGUAGCGGUGCAGCCCUACUUCGAGUAGUGACGUGGUUCGGGCUAGAAAGGCCCUUGUUCCUUUCCCUUUCUUGAUGGUGAUCUAGGAUGUUUUCCUCUUGUUGAUCGACCGGCAUGAUCGACGGGUUGUUUUGUUGAAUCGGUCUCGGAUCUGUCCUUUCUGGGUGUUGGUUUUGCACCACUGUGCAUUAAAAUUGGGGCUUUGCAAUCAACCGACGAGCACGUAAACUGUUAUGAGAACAACUCAAGGACAUGAUCGUUGUAUGUUUGAUGGAGUAAUUGUGAUAUGCUCGAUUCAGCAACUUGAACAUGCUAGAAUUGCCUAAUUUCAGCCAUUUACACUGGUUGAAAUUGCCUCAGUUUAGCAACAAGUUUCUAAGCGUAGUGAUAAUUUGAUGAAAUGAGGGUUUCUCUAUGGUCUGUCUAUUUAAGACCACAAAAAAAAUUAUGCUCGCACAACGAGAUUACCUCUCCUUUGGUUAUGAGGUGAAUUAUAAAUGCAAUUGGAUACAAUCCACCUUUGUCAUGAACGACCAAAAAUCAUUCAGAGCGGGUUGGCUUCACCUCAUCCACGAGAUCCUCAAAUCUCCUUUGAUUUGACCUUUUUUACAUCCCUCGUACACCACUUGCUCAAUUCUCAUUAGAUCAUUUUAUUCCCUCACAUAUAACUUUGUCACCACCACAUCCAUGAACUUGACCUCUCUAACCGCCAUCGAGCAAACUUAGAGCAAAUGCUCAUGUGCUUUGGGAACGGGCCUGCUCCAAUAUUAGAUGGUAUGGUGAAAAGAAAAAAGAGGAAUAGAGAAAUCACAUUGGAUUGAUUUAGAGGGUUCUGGUACGAACUUUAGUUAUAUGGGGGAUACUAUUUUCAUAAGAAAAACUGACAUUGUAUCUCAAUUUAAUGAAAGGGUGGCCCAUGAUUAUCAUCUUUUUUGGGUUAUCUAUGGUAUCUAUUAUUUUGCUUGAGAAUUUGGUUAAAUAUAUGGGGACUUGCAAAAUGGGAACUAGGUUUCACGUAUGUUGAUUUAAUUGUAUGGGGAAUAGGAUAUAAGGGUAGGUUGGUCAUUGUACUAUUUUGUUAGAGGUAUUUUGGUUAAUAUCAAGGGUCCGCAACUGGGUUUAAAUGUACUGUACAGACGCUGUUAUUGAUGUUAUUUUGAUUUAUGGAAUUAAAAAACAUUCCCUCCUACUUUGGUGUAGUAGAGAUGGCCCCUACUUUGUGUAGAGGUGCUGCCCUUCUGAGUACUGACGUGGUUAGGGCUGGAAAGGCCCCUUGUUCCUUUCCCUUACUUGAUGGUGAUCUCGGAUGUUUUCCUCUUGUUGAUCGACCAGCAUGAUCGGCGGGUUGUCGUUAUUGAAUCGGUCUCGGAUCUCUCCUUUCUGGGUGUUGGUUUUGCACUGCUGUGCCGACGAGUACGUAAACUGUUAUGAGAACAACUCAAGGACAUGGUCGCUGUAUGUUUGAUGGAGUAAUUGUGAUAUGCUCGAUUCAAUCACUUAAACAUACUAGAAUUGCCUAAUUUCAUCCAUUUGCACUCGUUGAAAUUGCCUCAGUUUAGCGGCAAGUUGCUAAGUGCAGUGAUAAUUUGAUGAGAUAAGGGUUUCUCUAUGGUCUGUCUAUUUAAGACCACAAAAAAAAUUAUUCUCACACAACGAGGUUACCUCUCCUUUGGUUAUGAGGUGAAUUAUAACUGCAAUUGGAUACAGAUCCGCCUUUGUCAUGAGCGACCAAACAUCAUUCAGAGCAAGUUGGCUUCACCUCAUCCACCAGAUCCUCAAAUCUCCUUGUCCAAUGAUGCUUCUGUCAACUGAACAUUCCAAUUGCAAGUGAUGUGGAACAACGCUGAAUUGCUUCUACGAGAUCGACCGCAUUAGGCUGCCUCGUAAUUCCCCCAUUCAUCUCAAGACCAUUUGUGUUGUGCAGAUAAAUUACUACAGAGAAAUUUAUGGGAUUUUGAGAGUAAGACUGCUCCAUACCAUAUGGGUUGUUGCAGUCAGAAUAGAGUAGCAGAUGCUUUGAGUAGAAGGUCGACUCUAUUAACUACCAUGGUGACUGCUAUUACUGGGUUCGAGUUUAUGAAGGAUCUUUAUGCAGAUGAUGACGACUUUAGGGAGGAUAUGGGACCAGUGUUACAGUGAAGUUGUUGGGGAUUUUUUUAGUCAAGAUGGAGUUUUCUUCAAAGGAAACCAUCUUUGUAUUUCUAUAGGUUUCCUUAGAGAAACCCUAAUAGCAGAGCUCCAUGGGGAAGGUCUUGGUGGACAUUUUGGUCGAGACAAAACUAUAGUAUUGGUGGAGUCUAAGUUCUAUUGGCCAAAAAUGAAGAGAGAUGUUCUACGGUUUGUUGAGAGGUGUCAUACGUGUCAACUGGCUAAGGGGCAACGACAAAAUACAGAGCUCUACGCUCCACUUCCUAUUCCUAAUGCACCUUGGGAGGUUGUUAGCAUGGAUUUUCUUCUGGAACUUCUGCAGACUCAAAGUGGUAUGGAUUCUAUAUCCAUAUUGGUGGAUAGAUUCUCAAAGAUGGCUCAUUUUAUACCUCGCAAGAAGACUCUGGAUGCCACAAAUGUUGCUAACUUGUACUUCAAAGAGGUGGUGAGGUUUGCAUGGUGUUCCAAAGACGAUAACUUCAAAUCGGGAUACGAAGUUUCUCAGCCAUUUUUGGGUAACUUUGUGGAAGAAAUUGGGCACUCGGUUACAAUUUAGUAGUGCUUAUCAUCUGCAGACUAUAAUAGCGUGUGCAAUAGAUCUAUUGGUAAAAGAAGAAACAAUGGGAUCUAGCACUGCCUCAGACUGAGUUUGCCUAUAAUAGCCUAUGCAAUAGAUCUACUGGAGUCUGAGGGUAAGCUGAAGGGAAUCUUGGGCUACAUUGAGGACGACGUGGUCUCCAUCAACUUUGUUGUGGAUUGCAGGUAUGUAGGUUCAAUCUCAACUUAUUGUAUUCCUUCUACAUGGGGACUAGUAAUGAGCACAGAUGUUGUAGGACUAUCUUUGGUUGGUUGGUUUGUCUAGGAGUUGGGCUUGGGCUUGGGCUUGAGUGGUUAGUGCCACAUCUCAAGUUCGAUUCCUACCACUGAAAUA